rnacentral:SRP_RNA from 1 species
UGGCGGGUAGGGCUGGGAGGUUAGCCGUCUCCCGAUAGGCUGAAACCGGCUAUACGCAGUGGCCAGCAACCGUCGGGUCAAGCCAUCUCUGCUUCUACCUACGCACGUGGGUGGGUUGAUCUCACGCCGGAGCGGGCAGUCAUGAGGAGCGGGCCCCUCGAAGGAGGGGUUCUGACUCUUAAUCGCCGAACAGGGCGAGGUCCGGGAGGGAGCAACCCUAAGGUGACGCGGCUACGCUGCUUCGUCUACGUGGAGGACUGCCCUACGUGUGGGAUUGGGGAAGCCUGAGGUGACGAACUCCGGCGGGACUGCCA